rnacentral:sRNA from 1 species
AACUUUCUCUGAACUCUCCCCCUCAACGGCUACUCUAGCUUCUCUCAAAUUUCAAGCGUUUUGGCGUACUUAGCAGUUGAGGUGAGGAGUUCAGCAAAAGUUGG